AUAAAAUACAAUUCACUGUUUACAAUAAUAGAUUAUAAGUAAUAUUAACAGUAAUAAUUACUGUCUAUAUUAAUUAAUACUAAUAAUUUAACAUAUAUAAAAUUUCUACUAAUUAACCAAAACAGUUUUAUAACAUUUUGAACUUUAAUUUUCAUACUAGGCGAUGACACCGAAGGUAGUAACAGACCACCAAUAUUCUACAAUUUUUUUCCAUAAACAAUGAUUAGUCGUGGAAAUAUUACAUAAUGUAUUAGUGUGUAUACAAGGUGAGUCUGCCAUGUUCUAACAACAAUAAAUAUUGAUAUUGUCUAUAUUUUACAGUAUAAAUAUUAUUUUAGUAAUUGUUAUACGUUAGAAUAUUAAAAUUUUACUAAAAAUAUAGCUUUUCUAUUUAUAAAAAAAAAAUAUAUGUAUAUUUUUCAUUUUCGAAAAAUGAAAAGGCCAUAUAAUAUUGAUGUAAUUUUUUGUUUAUUAUUACAGUUAUUUAUAACAUUGUAAACUGAGUUAACUGAGUUAAAUCAACUGUAUGGCUCAUUAACAUUUUUCUAAUAAAUUAAUAAAUAUAUUAAGUGAAUAGCA